rnacentral:lncRNA from 1 species
UUUUAAGGUACUUACCUGGCUUUUAGUUGUUUUGCAAAAUUUCCAGCAACCAUUUUUUAAGAAUAAUGUCAACUACUUCAUUGGCAGAACACGUAUAUAUGUAACUGGCAAAAGCGGUGCUUUCACCAUAAUCGUCGACUUUUUUACUAAGAAUAUUUGUAUUUUAGGGGAUGAAAGGAAGUGGUGCUUUGACCAUAAAGGGCGACUUCUCCAUUAAGAGUAUGUAUCUAGC